AUAUUUUUUACUUCUUUUUUUAAUAAGGAUUUUUUUUAAAAACGCGAAAGAGCUUUGAAGACUUUUGGGAACAUUCAGCACAUCUGCUGAAUCAGGCUGCCUGUUCCCAAUCAAGCAGUGUUCUGCAAAUGCAAGAGUACAGGCAUCUCCUGAUUCAGAAACCACUAAAGGAAAGGAUGAAUUUUGUCAGGAGUCAAAAGAUCCUGAAUUCCACUCCUAUAGCCAUUGACUGUUGUUUGACUUCAAAGUCCUCCGUACUGACCUAAACCUCAAGCUUCUACCUAGAAGGAGGUCAGGUGAGCAGUAUACAGCAUGCACAUCUACAGAACAUUCAGCGGUGAACUGCAAGAACAGAAAUGACUGAAAGAAUUUGCACAUGGGCAUCAAAAAAUGAAAAGUAUCCAAAUUUAAAAAUAUAUUCACCUCACAAAGCAAGACUCCCCAAAACAAGGAGAAAGAGUCAAAAGAACAGGGCUAAUUUUAAGAUGUUAGUGACCACACUAUUCAGUUUUUAUCCUGUGUCUGUACCUGUGAUAUCUGAGCUCCCUGAGCAUCCCAUCGUAUGUUGGUAGGUUUCUCAACCUUCACUCUUUUCUUCAAGAGAACAGUGUGAAUUUUUUGAUAGGUCAUUUCUGGUUUGGCUUACUCAGUUCAAGGACUUUGCUAGAGUAGGGACCCAUUAAAUAAUUCCGUAGUAUUCUACAUCAUUUCAGUCCUGCCAUCCAUUUUUCAACAAUAAGUUUGCUGCAGUUCCAAUGCUGAGCACUGAAUUUUCAAAGUUACAGUCAGUUGCAGUACUCAUUCAUCAUUGCCAAAGUUAAGCUACCUGGGCUUCACAUGUAAGGGUGUUCUUCAGGAGUCAGAGCUGCCACUGCCUAGCAAAAAAGGAAACCGAUGACUUGGCUGGCAGUAAAGGUACUCCAUGGGUCACAAAUACCAAGUGCCAAGUUAACAAAUUUUUCCCUUCUGGCUAAAAUUUAAUCCAUAUGCUCUGCAUGAAGUUUAUUUUUUGAGAUGGCAUCUGGAGUACAAAAGAGACAUUACAAUAUAAGAGAAAUAUACUGGCAGUAUGUGAAUUUAUUACAAACCUUUAAAUGGCUUUCUAGUUCCCAUUAAGUGCUUUAUGCUUCAGUUAUCAAAAAUUGUCAGAAAUUCCUUAAGAAACCUUUCAAAAACAAUUACAGAGAGGAGAAAAAGUAGCAGGCACAUCAAAGGAGGUAGUAUGCAUCAAAACCUAGUGAUGUUUUCCUUAGAAAGCUUUC